CUACGAGAGAGGACACCGAAUUAAGAUGACCCUGGGUCUGAGCUGGCAGCGGUGUUCUUCAGCAAGCUGGUUUGAAUAUUGGAUCUUAAACAACCAGCCUCUUUAUAUGCACCUUUAAAAUCUAAUUCUGCUUUAGAUCUGGGAAGUGCGUGAUUAAUCUUGAUCAGGAAGAUAUAUUUCUCUUUGUUUAAUAUUUUUAAUCUUAAUUAAGGUCAUUUUCUACUCUGGGCCAUAUUGCUAUUUCAUUUACUUAGCUGUAAUGAUUAAAUCUAAUUUGCUACUCUGUGAAAUCUUAAUCCUACUGAAGACUAAUGGCUAUAGUACACAGUUCAGUUAAGAAACAGAUUCACCACAUAACCUCCAUUAAGUAAUUCCAUUUAUUCCAAUAAAACUAGAUGGCACAUGAAAGAAAGAAUCUAUGGUGGUCUUUAUUUUCCAGAAAUCAUAAAAAUUUUAAUACAAGCACUCAAGAGAUGUUUUGACCUCUUCCUGAACAUACGAUUUCUCACGGCCAGAAGUCAUGGGAAAAAAUUUCAAAACAAAUCCAACUCAUAAAAUCUGUACUCUGGGAAAAAAAAAAAAAAAGGGGGAAGAAAAGAAAAAGAGAAAAGUGAACUACAUAAUGUGCUCGAUCUUUUUUUUACAACUACAGUGUUCUCCCCUUCAAAUAUAUGAAAUGUCAGCUUGAAAGUACAGGGAAAAUGUCUCCAUAUCCACAGCAAACAUGAUUUCUUGGAAAAAAUAAUGACAGAAAAGCUUAUUACUAAUGAAGUAUUCUCACUAUAAUCACAUCUCCUUCAUUACCUCCAUAUUUUUGGUGAUAUAAAAGGAGGAACAAUUAUUACCUUGUUCACUUUGAUUUAUUUGGCUCAGUACCUCCUUACUUAGGUAAUGUAAAAUAAACUGUGCUACAUGGGUCAUUUAUGAUGUGAUUUAAUAAGAUGCAUUUUAUUUCUCGCCCUCAGGGAAACAUAUUUGUUUGCAAGCACCUGGCAAAAAACAUUUCUUUUGUUGAUUUUCUUUUUUCAUCCAAUAGACUUCAACCCACAGAGUAAUUUAAAGCUACAAUACACAGGUUGUCAUAAUGGCAAUCUACUAAAACAAGACUUCAAAUCCCACAGAAGGAAAUGGUCCUUGGAUGCCAAAAGAAGGAAGGUCAUUAUUACAAGGUUGACCAGUUCCUAAAUUCCUGUGGGUAUGUCCUUGUAAAUUAAGACAUGUUCUUUUCCAUUACCUGAAACUGUUAAUAUUUUUUCAUUAAAAGUACAUGCUAUUUACAAGCAAUACAUAUAUAUGUAUAUAUAUAUAAAGCAAGGAAUAUGAGACAGACCUGGAGGUAAAAUGCAGAGCUAGAAAAUUGCUUUUUUGAAAAACAUGGGCAAAUUUACUGGUCUUAAACUCACAAAGACUUUAUGAGAAUAUGAGUCUUGAUUCUGUGGCUUUUAGGCUUUUUAAGUAAGUGCUCAUUUUCAUCCAUAUGGUGGGAAUAACAUUUAGCUAAACCUCCUUGAUGGCACAAGAUUAAAGAAGCUGAUAUUUUACAUGAGAAUAUUUCAUAUAUUGUCAUGCUGACUGCAGGAUGGUAAUGUGUUGUGCCACAGGAUCCAUCCCUGCAUUCACCUAAAGCUUGUACAGCUCUAUGUGUGACAAAACAACAGUUGUUCUAGUGGAGCUGAUUGCAGCCCAAGGAGCUCAGACGAGCUCUCUGCCAGUGGGCUCUGCAUGAAGGGGGUGCUGCUCACACCUACAACUGCUGGGAAAGUCCCUCACAAAUGCUCUGUAAAUAUGUCCCUAGCGCUACAGCCACAUUAGCCUGCUCUCAGAUAGCAGGAAACCUGCAUUUUCAUACUCAAGAGAAUGUUUAUUUGAUUUUUCUAAUUUAUGUUAUACUAAUCAAGAAUAUUUCUAAAUAAUCAAUUAUCUUUGUAUGUUUGUAUUAAUUGAAAUGUCUGGCAGCUGAGUCUUUCCCUUCUUUUCCCUUUCCCUUUUCCCUAUCCGUAUCCCUUUCCCUUUCCCUUUUUCCUUCCCCUUCCCCUUCUCCUUCCAUAUCCUUAUCCCUUUCCCUUCCCUUUCCUUUCUUUUCCCUCCAGAUUAAUCACAUUUUAUCCACUUUCAGGGAACCAGUUUUGUACAAUUAUUCUGCAACAUGCAAGAGGAAGCCUACAGUUUUCCUGAAAAGAAAUUAAAAUUAUGCAUUUCCAAUG
ensembl:lncRNA